rnacentral:rRNA from 1 species
AUUGAACGCUGGCGGCAGGCCUAACACAUGCAAGUCGAGCGAGCGGCGGACGGGUGAGGAAUGUAUGGGGACUGCCCGAUAGAGGGGGAUAACUACUGGAAACGGUGGCUAAUACCGCAUACGGUCGGAUAACCCAUAUGGGAUUAGCUAGUAGGUAAGGUAAUGGCUUACCUGGGCGACGAUCCCUAGCUGGUCUGAGAGGAUGAUCAGCCACACUGGGACUGAGACACGGCCCAGACUCCUACGGAGGCAGCAGUGGGGAAUAGGGCACAAUGGGCGCAAGCCUUGUGCAGCCAUGCAGCGUGUAUGAAGAAGGCCCUAGGGUUGUAAAGUACGUUCAGUCGGGAGGCGGUACUGGCAGAAGAAGCACCGGCUAACUCCGUGCCAGCAGCCGCGGUAAUAC